AUGAGUCGACCUGAUGGGAUCAACAUCCCUGACGACAAGUUCUACCUUGGAGAUGCUGGCUAUGCAUGUCGGUCGGGUAUUCUUCCACCCUUUAGGAAAACAAGAUACCAUCUCAACGAGUUCUCUGGUAGGAACUAUCCUAGGACUGCACAGGAGCUGUUUAAUCUCAGACACUCUAGCCUUAGAGUAACUGUUGAGAGGGCAUUUGGUGCUCUGAAGAAUAGGUUUAAGAUCCUGGAUCAGAAGCCAUUCCACCCAUACUCCACUCAAGUUAAGCUUGUUCUUGCUUGUUGCAUAACUGGAUCCUCUAGUGGGGCUUUGAUGAACACGUGCCUGAGGAGGAAGAGGUCGAGCCUGACGAUGUUGUUAGCUCCGGCUAUGGUGUGGAGGCAUUUGACAAUGACGCUUGGAAGAACAAAAGGUUGGAGUUGGCAGAGGCAAUGUGGC
rnacentral:rRNA from 1 species